rnacentral:snRNA from 1 species
ACAUCUGCUUUUGGGGAGUAUCAUAGCCAAUGAGGUUUAUCCAAGGUGCGAUUAUGACUAAUUGAAAACUUUUCCCAGUACCAUGACAACUUUAAAUAUAGUCAGCAUUGGCAAUAAGGAAAAAAAAAUCUCCUUUU